rnacentral:lncRNA from 1 species
AGUAAGUCAACAUGCACAGAGUUUUAAAGGAAGUGUCUAAGAACUUAUUUCUUGUUUCUUGAAUAUCCUUCUUUUAUUCAAAUCACAUUUUAAAACUCAGAAGGUUGAAUGUUUUAAGGAAGAUUUGCAGAAAGAUACGCUGUUAAUUCCAUUUCAGUUGCCCACGAAACUGAAUUGAUUGUUGGUCCUUCCUUCAGCUCAAAGUCAAAAGGGGAGGAGCUUCACCAAAGCUCCAGUCGUUUUCCUACAUUGGGACCACUCAGGCGCAUGGCCUUCUGUAAGGCAGAGCCAAGAAAGUGCUAGUACCCAAGACUGGUCUAAUACUCCAGAGUACUGAGGCAAAGUAUAAAAGGAGACUCAAGAAUGAGACUUCAAAGGGAGAAGAACCAAGUUGGUAGAACAGCAUGGAAGUUUUUUUGUGUCUGGCUGAUCAACACUAAACCAUCCUGCACACCUAGAAAACUGAUUUGAGGAUUAACACAACAAUCUGCACAACCCAAACCACAGAACUCAGCAGCUCCGUCUCUCUAUUUCUUAAGCUUCUACUGCCUAACAGAUUCUUCAGCUUCCAGCUCUACUCUGUGCCUCCUGUCUCAGGGCCUCUGACUGCUGCAAUUCACCGAGGUACAGCUCAGGGAGCUUCGGUUCAUCCUCCAAGUGGACCUGAAGGUCAGCAUGCCCGCCCUUGGGCUCAAGUGUCUCAAAGUUAUUCUGGAUCUUCUUAAUCGGAUCUAACAUCUGCAGUUGUUGUUUUCCCCUGUUCUCUGAUCUGCAUGUUAAUUUUUCAAGAUAAAGCAAGUGAAAUACUAGGACAUAUUCUUAUCAAAAUGGAAUGCAUUACAUAUCAAAUGAUCA